AAAUUGAAGAGUUUGAUCAUGGCUCAGAUUGAACGCUGGCGGCAGGCCUAACACAUGCAAGUCGAACGGUAACAGGAAGCAGCUUGCUGCUUUGCUGACGAGUGGCGGACGGGUGAGUAAUGUCUGGGAAACUGCCCGAUGGAGGGGGAUAACUACUGGAAACGGUGGCUAAUACCGCAUAACGUCGCAAGACCAAAGAGGGGGACCUUCGGGCCUCUUGCCAUCAGAUGUGCCCAGAUGGGAUUAGCUUGUUGGUGAGGUAACGGCUCACCAAGGCGACGAUCCCUAGCUGGUCUGAGAGGAUGACCAGCCACACUGGAACUGAGACACGGUCCAGACUCCUACGGGAGGCAGCAGUGGGGAAUAUUGCACAAUGGGCGCAAGCCUGAUGCAGCCAUGCCGCGUGUAUGAAGAAGGCCUUCGGGUUGUAAAGUACUUUCAGCGGGGAGGAAGGUGUUGUGGUUAAUAACC
rnacentral:rRNA from 2 species